rnacentral:lncRNA from 1 species
UGUCACUCUGUAGCUGGACGGUGUUGUAUGGGAUUUGUAUUUCUUUUUUUUUACUGGGCUUGUCAAGUGUUGUGUGAACUUGUGUGUGUGUGGGCCUUGGCCGGGUCGGGGUGGCGCAGGUGUUGAGAGGAGGCGAGGCUUAAAGGGCUGUCGAGCAUCUGUAAGAUGACCAUCGAUGAAAAAGAAUUAACUCCUGCUACCGUUCUUCUUCCUUGCUCCUGGCGGCGCCUUCGUCGUGGUCUAAGGUUCUGCGGCUACAGCCUCACCGCCGGCUACGUUAGGGUGUGACAACUUGGUAUCAGAGACUCUCGGUCCUCGGCACGCUUCGCAAUCUCGCCGUCGGUCAGUAACAUCGACCGCUUGGUAGGGGAACACCUUCAGGUUGAUCCCCCUAAAUCCUGGC